UACGUAGGGUGCGAGCGUUAAUCGGAAUUACUGGGCGUAAAGCGUGCGCAGGCGGUGAUGUAAGACCGAUGUGAAAUCCCCGGGCUUAACCUGGGAACUGCAUUGGUGACUGCAUUGCUGGAGUAUGGCAGAGGGGGGUGGAAUUCCACGUGUAGCAGUGAAAUGCGUAGAGAUGUGGAGGAACACCGAUGGCGAAGGCGGCAUCCUGGACCGACACUGACGCUGAGGCGCGAAAGCUAGGGGAGCGAACGGG
rnacentral:rRNA from 1 species